rnacentral:rRNA from 1 species
UACGGAGGGUGCAAGCGUUAUCCGGAUUUACUGGGUUUAAAGGGUGCGUAGGCGGCGCGGUAAGUCGGGUGUGAAAUCUCGGGGCUUAACUCCGAAACUGCAUUCGAUACUGCCGUGCUUGAGGACUGGAGAGGAGACUGGAAUUUACGGUGUAGCGGUGAAAUGCGUAGAUAUGUGGAGGAAUACCGAUGGCGAAGGCAGCCCCCCUGGGAUAACACUGACGCUCAUGCACGAAAGCGUGGGGAGCAAACAGG